CUAUAUGAGAGUGAUAAACCAGUUUGUUAGCGGAAUGUCUCUGGGAAGAGCAACCGAAGAGGGUGAAAGUCCCGUAUGUGAAAACGAAUUGGCUCUCAGGUGGUACCUGAGUACAGCGGGGCACGAGAAAUCCUGCUGGAAUCUGGGGGGACCACCCUCCAAGGCUAAAUACGAGAUAGCUACCGAUAGUGAAUUAGUACCGUGAGGGAAAGGUGAAAAGAACCCCGGGAGGGGAGUGAAAUAGAACCUGAAACCGUGGACCUACAAGCGGUCAAAGCCUUAAUUUAUUAGGGUGAUGGCGUGCCUUUUGUAGAAUGAGCCUGCGAGUUACGAUAUGCAGCGAGGUUAAGGCAUAGAAGUGCCGGAGCCGGAGGGAAACCGAGUGUGAAUAGUGCGUUUAGUUGUAUGUCGUAGACCCGAAGCCGAGUGAUCUACCCAUGUGCAGGUUGAAGCUUGAGUAAAAUCAAGUGGAGGACCGAACCCGGAUCUGUUGAAAAAGGUUGGGAUGACAUGUGGGUAGGAGUGAAAGGCUAAUCAAACUCGGAGAUAGCUGGUACUCCUCGAAAUGGUUUUAGGAUCAGCCUCAUAUGAUUUUUUGCGGAGGUAGAGCACUGAUUAGGCUAGGGCCCUUCACCGGGUACCAAACUUAGUUAAACUCCGAAUGCCGUAAAACAAAAUAUGGGAGUGAGACUGUGGGUGAUAAGAUUCAUGGUCGAAAGGGAAAGAGCCCGGACCGUCAGCUAAGGUCCCUAAACUAUGCUAAGUGGAAAAGGAAGUACGAUUGCCCAGACAGCCAGGAGGUUGGCUUAGAAGCAGCCACUCCUUUAAAGAGUGCGUAAUAGCUCACUGGUCGAGUAGUCGUGCGCCGACAAUGUAACGGGGCUAAGCAUAGUACCGAAGCUACGGAUCAGCAUAUUUAUAUGUUGGUGGUAGAGGAGCGUUCUGUAGGCCGAUGAAGGUGAUCUGUAAGGGUUGCUGGAGGUAUCAGAAGUGAGAAUGCAGGCAUGAGUAACGAAAAGGCAGGUGAGAUCCCUGCCCGCCGAAAACCUAAGGUUUCCUGGGUAAAGGUAAUCUUCCCAGGGUUAGUCGGCCCCUAAGGCGAGGCUGAAAAGCGUAGUCGAUGGGAAACUGGUUAAUAUUCCAGUACUUCUGUCAAUUUCGAUGGGAUGACGCAUAAGGAGAAGCACGGCCGGAGAAUGGUAGUUCCGGUCUAAGCGACAAGGUGUUGAUUGGGGCAGGUAAAUCCACCCCGAGAGCCAAGUCGUUAAGGAUAGUGGACCUACGGGAAAGCGAAUUGUGUGGAUUCAUGGUGCCAAGAAAUAAUCUCUAAGGUUAGGUUGACAGGAACCGUACCGCAAACCGACACAGGUAGGUAGGAUGAGUAUUCUAAGGCGUACGGGAGAACUCACGUUAAGGAACUCGGCAAAAUGCAUGCGUAACUUCGGGAGAAGCAUGGCCUAGCGCGUAAUGGCGAGGUUGCAGAGUCCAGGUCCAAUCGACUGUUUACCAAAAACACAGGUCACUGCGAAUCUGCAAAGAGAAGUAUAGUGACUGACACCUGCCCGGUGCUGGAAGGUUAAGAGGAGUUGUUA
rnacentral:rRNA from 1 species